rnacentral:rRNA from 1 species
UACGUAGGGGGCAAGCGUUGUCCGGAUUUACUGGGCGUAAAGCGCACGUAGGCGGAUCGUUAAGUCGGGGGUGAAAUCCUGGAGCUCAACUCCAGAACUGCCUUCGAUACUGGCGAUCUUGAGUCCGGAAGAGGUGAGUGGAACUCCUAGUGUAGAGGUGGAAUUCGUAGAUAUUAGGAAGAACACCAGUGGCGAAGGCGGCUCACUGGUCCGGUACUGACGCUGAGGUGCG